CACCGCGGUUAUACGAGAGGCCCAAGUUGAUAGCCAGCGGCGUAAAGAGUGGUUAAUAUGUAUAUACACAAUUACUAAAGCCGAACACCUUCAAAACUGUUAUACGUACUCGAAGGCUGGAAGUCCCCCCACGAAAGUGGCUUUAAAAUACUAUGACCCCACGAAAGCCAGGACC
rnacentral:rRNA from 1 species